AGCUGCGGGACCGCGCGUCGGCGGGGAGCGCGGCCUCCCUCGCGGGCCACGGCGCAGUACGCACGCGCGGCCGAUUUCAAAUCCUCACUAGACAGCGCCGCCUUGGUUACCGCGCCUGCGCGCCGUGCUGCUCGGAAAGCGGCGCGACUGGGCGGGACGAAGAGAGGCAGCGGCGACCAUUCCAGACCCGGGCUGGGCUGCGCGGAGGGGACGCCGCGGCGCCCAGGCUGGACGUGCGCACAUGCGCGCCGGAGUCCUGGCGGCUGCCUCACCUCGCCGCGCGUGCGCAUAACUCCUGCUGUCGCCAAUGGAAGUUCCCCGCGUCCCAAUGCAGGCCGCGGGUGCUGUGUGGUGGUUCCUCUCCCAGAGUUCUCGAGGCUGGGCUUCAGGGAAGGAACUGCAACCAGCACUGCGAAAGAGAACUUGCAAAGUUAAUUUCUUUGUCUUGUAGAGAUAAGCAGUUUCUCCAGACUUCGUCUUGCUGCUCAUUAUAACCAACUGCCCCUCUGGCUCGCCUCAGCCCAAGAAGUGACAGAGUGUGCAGAUGGCAGCCCCAGGAGGAUGGAGCCCAGUUUCCUUUCCACGAGAGAAGGAUGUGGUGGUGUACUCCUGCAGUCCCAGCACUUGGGGGGCUGAGGCAGAUUGCUUCAAGGCUGAGGCAGAUUGCCAUAAAUUCAGGCCAGCCUGAACUACAUAAUGAGUUCAAGGCAAGCCUGAGCUACAUAGCUCGACCCUGUCCCAAAAAAACAAACAAACUUCAAAUGUUUUAGGAUGCUGACUACAGAAUGGACAGGACUAAGCUUCUCAGUGACUCCAGUUCAAUGAUGGCGAACCCUGUUGACCUUUCAGUGAUAGAGUCUGGCGAGCAGGUUCACUGUUGGUCUAGAUAAACAGCCACUUGUUCCAAUCUUUGAUAUUGCUCAAAUGUGGCAACCAGGGCUUAUGACACUAACCCCAAUCCCCUGUUGAAGCCCCUCCAACAUGGGCCAUGUUCUGACUCACCAUCACCUGAGAAGGCUGCCUGGCACCCAGGGACAAGGCACAGGCGGUUAAUUUGCAAAGGCUUCAGAAAAGAGGAAGAGGAGAGAGCUGUGAGCACCAAAGAGUCACCUGUGUGUCAGCCCCCCACGCCCCCAAAUCAGUAGAGCUGCAGAGGUUGUGAAAGGGGAUCUCAUGCACGAUUGUCUACAAGCAGAAAGGCCCUUCUUCUGGCGAGUGUAAAGGUUGCCUCUCUCUCGGCUUUGGCUUUGGUUUGUAUUUGACUUCAAUGUUUGGUGAUGCUUUUUGAUGCUCAAGCAUCCAGCUUUCCUUUGCUUGUGCUUCAGCUACCUUUGAUGGACUCUAUGUGCCAGUCCAAGGUGGGACAGCCAGCCUGAUGAUGUGGCACCUCAGGGCGCUCAAGACUGAGGGCAGAAAUAAGCAAGGGGGAAAUUGAAACUACCACUGCAAAAUGGAGCCUUAAAGUUAGCUUUUGUUUCUUGUAGAGAUAAUCAAGUUCUCCAUAAUCCCUCCUACUCAGCACAUAAGCAGCACCCCAGCCUCUCUUCAGCCCAAAGAAGGGACAGAAUAUGCAGAUCCCACAGGAGGCGGGAGGCUGAGUUCCUUUCCACAAGAAAGAGGAACCAACCAAGAUGACCGGAAGUGAUAAAGCAAGUGCGCACAUCCAAAAUGUCUCCCUGUGUCGCCCACCCUGCUAUUCCUUAGGAUAAAGGACCCUUACCCAGCUGAACAAGGAGAUGGUGGUUUGAGGCAUAUGGGCCCUACUGUCUCCUUAGAGAUAGCUUGGCAAAAAAUCUUUUUUCCUCUUUUCACCAAAAUACCUGGCCGCCUUCAAUCUGGUCAGCCGCAGGCAAAGGAACCUAAGCGUAUAAUCCUAAGUGGCCGGCCAGUAACACUUCAGGACAGUGACAUGGCGGAAUCUUCUUUGGGCGGGCCUUCUGUUUCCUCUUUUGGGCAAAAUCAAGGAGAGCUUCUGAGUUCAGGCCCCAGUUCUGCCUCCCCACGACCGUCAGGCAGCCCCUGCCCCGGAGGACCAGCGGCUGCAAGACCCACAGGGCCCAAACGUGCUGACCACAUGGGCAGAUGCGGCAUCCCUGUGUGCAUUUGCCCUGCCUGCAGCUUGUCUGUGCCCAGCCUCAGGCCCCAGUGCUGGACCCUGUUCUUUUUGUGCAGAACAGAGCAAAGAGUAUUUUAAAAGCUGUCCUCCUGGUCUACACCUCAGAUGAGCAGACGCGACUCAGUACCUGACACUUCGAGUACUGCACAGGCAUGAAAAUGCACGCAGCUCAUGCCAAGGCCUCUGGGCAAGCAAUGUUAACAAAAAAUCAGACGUCUGGGGACAGACUUUCUAGCACCUGUAUAUUGUACGUGUGGAAAUUAUGACCAAGGAUCAGAACUUGUGUGUUCAAUAAACUAUGGAAAAUCA